GGGCGGGGCCGGGCGGCCUCCCCCAGCCGCCCCGGCGUGCGAGCGGGGUGGCGUCCCGGGGGUAGCGGGGACCCCGCCCGGGACCGAGGGAGCGUGACCGCCUUUUCCCUUCCAGCUGCGGGGGACGGCGCAGUAGAGCACCGCCGCCCGGCCAUUUAUCUAAAAGGGAGUCAGGGCCACGGGCGGAAUCAACUGGAAUCCUCACUUUCUCAAGCCACCGAUCGCCCAGCCCGCAGCCUUACCGGGCGUGACGGGCACCCCUCCCCGUGGCAGCGCAUUUCCGCCGCCAGCGACCCGACGCCCCCCGCCCCCGUCGCAGGCCCAGUGCCCUUGCUGGGACAGAUUGCACACCCAUAGCAUAGGUCUUCAGUACUCUGCGAAUAACGUGAUGAUAUAAAGGUUGGAUUGAGAAAGGAAGGAAAACAAAAACGAAAACAUUUUGGGUCAGUUCACGAGCGGCCGCAGUGAUGGGGAAGGGGUCUGGGGGCUUCCUCUCCGACUUUGCGGGCAGCGUCAUCUGGCUCAAGAACGCACGCUGGUCCGUGCGAGGCACAGAGUCCCUCUGGUCACCACAGGUAUCAGGACGGGUAAGGCGCUGUGAGGGCGUGACAGAGUCCUGAGACCUUCCUUCCGGGGCCUCACUGGUUCUUGUGCUUCCGGGCACACACAUCAACACACACACACACACACACACGUGAUCAGCACGGAUGAUUUCAGAACAUUGACUUCCAAGCCCUUCCUACCUGCCUAGCGGUUACACUCAACUCAGCAGACUGGUCCACCGUUCCGGUCCUGUUGGAGGAGGUCACCGAGAGGAUGUGACCACCAACUGAGCCUCAAGCUGGACCCAGGCAAUUGGAGGCGCCUCACUCCCUCCCCCGUCCUCGGAAGAUAUGUUCUGCCCACCGUUCCCACAGCCGGAGCUGUCCCAAGGAUGCAGCCAUGAGAGAGCAGUGUGGUGUUGAGACCGUUUGGACGGUCAAUGUAACUGAACCCCGUUAAGGCCUCUGUAUAAACUCUUAGGAUUCUGGCGGGCUGGUGCGGAAGUCAACUGUCUCCCCCAAUGGGCUGCUAAGGGGUGUGAGCUUUGGGGCCUUAGGUGGGCCUUCAGCAGGAGAGUAAAGUGGCCUGGUCUGUGUUUCAGGAAAGUAUCUGGGGCAAUGGAUUCCAUAGAGCCCGGCAGAGACACUGGAAGAGACUCUUUCCUUGUCCCUCGCUACGAGAGGGGGGAAGAUGAGGAACAAGUUUGGGACGUCUUCGGAAAGGCCGGUUAGGCAGGUGGGCACAGGGGAUCCUGGACAGGAUCCAGGUGGAGGGAGUGGCCUGUACAAAAACUUGCCAGAGGGCAGGCCGGCCGGGUGAGUUCAGACGCCAGAUCAGAUGGACUGUGGGGCUCAGAGGAUGUGAUGAGACUUCCGGACAAACAGACAGAGGGAGUUUUGAGUAUCAGUAGCCAAGUUCAGACACAAUUCUGUGAGCGGUGGAGGAUUCCUGAAAUUGCUGGAUUUUCUUCUUUAUCGUCGUGUCUUUGUUUUUAUCGAGAGAAGUGAUAGACUCAAAAUUCCAGUCCCCUGAGGCCCCAGCUUGAUGUCCAUCAUCAAAGCAAAACCGCGAUGUGCUCGUCUCUAAAUGCAGGUCUCCAAAUCAGGCCUUCCGUCUCAGGGGUAUUCUCUAAGCUAAAAUUAGACUCGUGGAAUGUACUGGAAUCGCUGCGUUACAUCCCACAGACAUCCCUUCAGAGCCUGUAUUUGGCUUGUCACCUGUGACUAAUUUUAGUUCAUUAGAAAUCAGGCACAAAACCUGGUGACUUUUUAGGCUGGGAUAGUGGCCCGGGCCCUGUUGAGAUCAUGCAGUCAGGCUGUGUCACAUGCAUCCUCUUAGACCCGUGCAUAAACGGGCACAGCCAGGGCUGUUCAUGGGCACACUUAAGCUCUACAGGACUCCUGAGCCAUCAGAGGAGUUUGGAGAUUAUAUUUGAUACAGUUCACAGUAUGGUACAUUUGCUUGGAGGCCAAUUUAUUGUAAAUUGAUGGUUUCUGUCUACCCCACUGCACUCUCUUGUCCCGCCUCUGCCCUAAAUCAGGCCCCCCAGAACAGCCUUGGGAGCUUCCUCUGGGUUGCAGGGACAAGGGCCUGGCUGGGACCGAAGGCCUUUCUCCUUUCUCCAGGGAGAAGAUGCCUAUGAACUCAGGGUCCCACAGGCUCAGUGGCCUCAAGCUCCCCAGGUGCUGGGCCGCUGGAUUUCCCAAACUCUGCCAACCGCUGGCAUCCAGUGCACCUAUAGACCGUUUUUUCUCCCACUGAUGAGGUAGUUCUUGCUCUUGCCCUAUAAGGAAGGGAGGUGACAGAGUUGGAGGGAAGAGACUCCUUCGGGAACGUCUACCCCAGUGGGUCCCUGUUCCUUAUGAGUUAAGCUUGUUUCUUAACCCAUCCCGUGUGGGGCUGUCUGAUUCCUCACAAGCCCUGUUGGGGAAGACAGGGGGGGGAUCACAAAGACAGCCACCACCCUGGCACAAGAAGGAGCUUUAACAACUGCUCGGGAAACCACAGUAACCCACAGUCCCCAGGGCAAGAAAUACCGGAGUGAGUUUUGAUUCUGGUCACUCCUUUCUCUGUGUGGAGCGACCAUACGUCAGGGUCGCCCACGACAGUCCUGGCUUAUGCCUAUUGUCUGGCAUGGUUAUUUUUUAAAAAUAAGUUUAUUU